AUGAUAGGUAUCUUUUGGAACUGUAGGGGGGCAGGAAAGAAAGGCAUGUCUUCCUGUCUCACGGAUAUCAUUAGUGCUAAUGGUGUUGAUUUCAUUGGUCUUCAAGAGACCAUGAAGAAAAAUUAUAAAACGAAGCUUGACCCUAUGUCUAAUUUCCACUGGGAAUGGAUCCCUUCUAUUGGGAAGUCUGGAGGAAUCCUAUGUGGUUUGAGAGCAGAGAAGUUUGAUGUUAUUGACACUGUUUGUGGCAAGUACAUUUUGCAAAUUAACCUUUUUGACAAAAUUAAGAAGUGCAAGUGGGCUCUACUGGUCGUUUAUGGAGCUGCACAUGAUGAUAGGAAACCUGAGUUUUUGGCUGAGUUGUCCUCGUUUUGUAAUAAAAUUGACAUUCCAUAUCUGGUUGGGAGAUUUUAA
rnacentral:rRNA from 1 species